rnacentral:rRNA from 1 species
CCCAGACAGCCAGGAUGUUGGCUUAGAAGCAGCCAUCAUUUAAAGAAAGCGUAAUAGCUCACUGGUCGAGUCGGCCUGCGCGGAAGAUGUAACGGGGCUAAACCAUGCACCGAAGCUGCGGCAGCGACGCUGAUGCGUUGUUGGGUAGGGGAGCGUUCUGUAAGCCUGUGAAGGUGGCCUGUGAGGGUUGCUGGAGGUAUCAGAAGUGCGAAUGCUGACAUAAGUAACGAUAAAGCGGGUGAAAAGCCCGCUCGCCGGAAGACCAAGGGUUCCUGUCCAACGUUAAUCGGGGCAGGGUGAGUCGACCCCUAAGGCGAGGCCGAAAGGCGUAGUCGAUGGGAAACGGGUUAAUAUUCCCGUACUUGGUGUUACUGCGAAGGGGGGACGGAGAAGGCUAUGUUGGCCGGGCGACGGUUGUCCCGGUUUAAGCGUGUAGGUGUGUGUUCCAGGUAAAUCCGGUUCACUUUAACACUGAGGCGUGACGACGAGGCACUACGGUGCUGAAGCAACAAAUGCCCUGCUUCCAGGAAAAGCCUCUAAGCAUCAGGUAACAUCAAAUCGUACCCCAAACCGACACAGGUGGUCAGGUAGAGAAUACCAAGGCGCUUGAGAGAACUCGGGUGAAGGAACUAGGCAAAAUGGUGCCGUAACUUCGGGAGAAGGCACGCUGACA